rnacentral:rRNA from 1 species
UUAAGUUAUUAAGGGCGCACGGUGGAUGCCUUGGCACUAGAAGCCGAUGAAGGACGUUACUAACGACGAUAUGCUUUGGGGAGCUGUAAGUAAGCUUUGAUCCAGAGAUUUCCGAAUGGGGAAACCCAGCAUGAGUUAUGUCAUGUUAUCGAUAUGUGAAUACAUAGCAUAUCAGAAGGCACACCCGGAGAACUGAAACAUCUUAGUACCCGGAGGAAGAGAAAGAAAAUUCGAUUCCCUUAGUAGCGGCGAGCGAAACGGGAAGAGCCCAAACCAACAAGCUUGCUUGUUGGGGUUGUAGGACACUCUGUACGGAGUUACAAAGGACGACAUUAGACGAAUCAUCUGGAAAGAUGAAUCAAAGAAGGUAAUAAUCCUGUAGUCGAAAAUGUUGUCUCUCUUGAGUGGAUCCUGAGUACGACGGAGCACGUGAAAUUCCGUCGGAAUCUGGGAGGACCAUCUCCUAAGGCUAAAUACUCUCUAGUGACCGAUAGUGAACCAGUACCGUGAGGGAAAGGUGAAAAGCACCCCGGAAGGGGAGUGAAAUAGAACCUGAAACCGUGUGCUUACAAGUAGUCAGAGCCCGUUAAUGGGUGAUGGCGUGCCUUUUGUAGAAUGAACCGGCGAGUUACGAUUUGAUGCAAGGUUAAGCAGUAAAUGUGGAGCCGUAGCGAAAGCGAGUCUGAAUAGGGCGUUUAGUAUUUGGUCGUAGACCCGAAACCAGGUGAUCUACCCUUGGUCAGGUUGAAGUUCAGGUAACACUGAAUGGAGGACCGAACCGACUUACGUUGAAAAGUGAGCGGAUGAACUGAGGGUAGCGGAGAAAUUCCAAUCGAACCUGGAGAUAGCUGGUUCUCUCCGAAAUAGCUUUAGGGCUAGCCUCAAGUGAUGAUUAUUGGAGGUAGAGCACUGUUUGGACGAGGGGCCCCUCUCGGGUUACCGAAUUCAGACAAACUCCGAAUGCCAAUUAAUUUAACUUGGGAGUCAGAACAUGGGUGAUAAGGUCCGUGUUCGAAAGGGAAACAGCCCAGACCACCAGCUAAGGUCCCAAAAUAUAUGUUAAGUGGAAAAGGAUGUGGCGUUGCCCAGACAACUAGGAUGUUGGCUUAGAAGCAGCCAUCAUUUAAAGAGUGCGUAAUAGCUCACUAGUCGAGUGACACUGCGCCGAAAAUGUACCGGGGCUAAACAUAUUACCGAAGCUGUGGAUUGUCCUUUGGACAAUGGUAGGAGAGCGUUCUAAGGGCGUUGAAGCAUGAUCGUAAGGACAUGUGGAGCGCUUAGAAGUGAGAAUGCCGGUGUGAGUAGCGAAAGACGGGUGAGAAUCCCGUCCACCGAUUGACUAAGGUUUCCAGAGGAAGGCUCGUCCGCUCUGGGUUAGUCGGGUCCUAAGCUGAGGCCGACAGGCGUAGGCGAUGGAUAACAGGUUGAUAUUCCUGUACCACCUAUAAUCGUUUUAAUCGAUGGGGGGACGCAGUAGGAUAGGCGAAGCGUGCGAUUGGAUUGCACGUCUAAGCAGUAAGGCUGAGUAUUAGGCAAAUCCGGUACUCGUUAAGGCUGAGCUGUGAUGGGGAGAAGACAUUGUGUCUUCGAGUCGUUGAUUUCACACUGCCGAGAAAAGCCUCUAGAUAGAAAAUAGGUGCCCGUACCGCAAACCGACACAGGUAGUCAAGAUGAGAAUUCUAAGGUGAGCGAGCGAACUCUCGUUAAGGAACUCGGCAAAAUGACCCCGUAACUUCGGGAGAAGGGGUGCUCUUUAGGGUUAACGCCCAGAAGAGCCGCAGUGAAUAGGCCCAAGCGACUGUUUAUCAAAAACACAGGUCUCUGCUAAACCGUAAGGUGAUGUAUAGGGGCUGACGCCUGCCCGGUGCUGGAAGGUUAAGAGGAGUGGUUAGCUUCUGCGAAGCUACGAAUCGAAGCCCCAGUAAACGGCGGCCGUAACUAUAACGGUCCUAAGGUAGCGAAAUUCCUUGUCGGGUAAGUUCCGACCCGCACGAAAGGCGUAACGAUUUGGGCACUGUCUCAACGAGAGACUCGGUGAAAUCAUAGUACCUGUGAAGAUGCAGGUUACCCGCGACAGGACGGAAAGACCCCGUGGAGCUUUACUGUAGCCUGAUAUUGAAAUUCGGCACAGCUUGUACAGGAUAGGUAGGAGCCUUUGAAACGUGAGCGCUAGCUUACGUGGAGGCGCUGGUGGGAUACUACCCUAGCUGUGUUGGCUUUCUAACCCGCACCACUUAUCGUGGUGGGAGACAGUGUCAGGCGGGCAGUUUGACUGGGGCGGUCGCCUCCUAAAAGGUAACGGAGGCGCUCAAAGGUUCCCUCAGAAUGGUUGGAAAUCAUUCAUAGAGUGUAAAGGCAUAAGGGAGCUUGACUGCGAGACCUACAAGUCGAGCAGGGUCGAAAGACGGACUUAGUGAUCCGGUGGUUCCGCAUGGAAGGGCCAUCGCUCAACGGAUAAAAGCUACCCCGGGGAUAACAGGCUUAUCUCCCCCAAGAGUUCACAUCGACGGGGAGGUUUGGCACCUCGAUGUCGGCUCAUCGCAUCCUGGGGCUGUAGUCGGUCCCAAGGGUUGGGCUGUUCGCCCAUUAAAGCGGUACGCGAGCUGGGUUCAGAACGUCGUGAGACAGUUCGGUCCCUAUCCGUCGUGGGCGUAGGAAAUUUGAGAGGAGCUGUCCUUAGUACGAGAGGACCGGGAUGGACAUACCUCUGGUGUACCAGUUGUCGUGCCAACGGCAUAGCUGGGUAGCUAUGUGUGGACGGGAUAAGUGCUGAAAGCAUCUAAGCAUGAAGUCCCCCUCAAGAUGAGAUUUCCCAACUUCGGUUAUAAGAUCCCUCAAAGAUGAUGAGGUUAAUAGGUUCGAGGUGGAAGCAUGGUGACAUGUGGAGCUGACGAAUACUAAUCGAUCGAAGACUUAAUCAA